rnacentral:lncRNA from 1 species
UCGUUACGUAAGGUUUCCUAGAGUGUUUCGCCGCUGGCUUCUUCCCACUUCUUUUCAGGCAUCAAGUUGCUUUUCCUGGGGAGCUUAAGUGCGCUAGUCAAUACACUUUUUUGAGGAAAGAUCGUAUUUUUUUUCCCCCAGGCUAGGUAAAUACCGAAGUUGUUAAUCUUCUGGCUGUUUGAAAGUGGUUGAACUAAUAUUAGCUAUGACUAAUAUUAGUAUGACUAAAGCAAACUGAAUUUCAGAUAUUCCUCCAAAGCAGCUGACUGCUAUGCAGUUCGCUGGUUGGGGAUCUGCUGAGUAACACCUGAAAAUCUGGGUCAUGUUUACCCUGAGUGAAUGUGUUCACAGGCCUACUGCACUUAAAAGAUUUUUGUUUAGCCAAGCCACCAGAACACAUUUAUUUGAUGAUGGCAGGAAGAAUGUAAUUAUUCUCUAGGUUGUUCCUGGAACUGCAGGGUUUAAAAUUGAGUUACUUUAUUGAUAAGCAACCCCAGAAUUUUUAUAGCAUGCCCUGACCACAGGGAAAAUUAAGGUGUUUUUUUUGCCCCUGACACUUACCACUGAAGAUGUUUGUCAGCAACUGAUUAAAGUGAAACGAUUUUAAACCUCGUGGAAAUGCAAAUUACUUUCUUACACGGGAUGAAAUCAAGAGAUAAUGCUGGAGCACUAAAGCAGCGUAGGGCAUGAAUCUGGAAACUUUAUCAAGGACUUGGAAUUGCUGCCUGGAGACAAGAAUUCACCUAGAGAAGAAUCAGAGUUGUUUCCCAAGGACUUCUUGGAUGUCGUUUUGCAGCAGCAUGUUCCAGAGUCUGCGCUACUUCCUUCUGAAGAAAAUGCUGUGA